rnacentral:tRNA from 1 species
UUCAUAAGAUGACUGAAGCAAGUACUGC